rnacentral:rRNA from 1 species
GGAGCCGUAGCGAAAGCGAGUUUUAACUGAGCGUUCAGUUACUUGACGUAGACCCGAAACCGGGCGACCUACCCAUGAGCAGGAUGAAGCGAAAGUAAAAUUUCGGGGAGGUCCGAACCCACGAGCGUUGAAAAGCUCGGGGAUGACUUGUGGGUAGCGGUGAAAUUCCAAUCGAGCCCGGAGAUAGCUGGUUCUCCCCGAAAUAGCUUUAGGGCUAGCCUCAAGGUGAGAGAUACGGAGGUAGAGCACUGAAUGUCCUAGGGGGUAUUGCACCUACCGAAGACUAUCAAACUCCGAAUGCCGUCAUCUUAUACUUGGGAGUCAGACUGUGGGUGAUAAGAUUCAUAGUCGAAAGGGCAACAGCCCAGAUCGUCAGCUAAGGUCCCUAAAUGUAAGUUAAGUGGUAAAGGAUGUGGGAUUGCACAGACAACCAGGAUGUUGGCUUAGAAGCAGCCACUCAUUCAAAGAGUGCGUAAUAGCUCACUGGUCGAGUGAUCCUGCGCCGAAGAUUUCCGGGGCUAAAACUUACUACCGAAGCUACGGCAUCAGUAAUGAUGGGUAGGGGAGCUUCCCAUACGGGUUGAAGCAUGACCGUAAGGACAUGUGGACAGUAUGGGAGUGAGAAUGUUGGCAUGAGUAGCGAGAUGUGGGUG